AGUUGACAAAGCAAGCAUUGAUGGAGUUGGCUCUCAACGAGCAGCUGAGGGAGAAACAAGAAAUGGAGAAAAAACUGCUGAAGUUGAGCAAGCAAAUGGAUUAUCUUGAGAGAGCUAAGAGAGAGGAGGCAGCUCCAUUAAUUGAAUCUGCAUAUCAACAACGCUUGGUUGAGGAACAGCUUCUGCAUGAGCGAUGAGCGUGAGCAACAGGAAAUUCCAAGGAAAUUUGUGAGUGUUUAUGGGAAAAAUCUGUGGAAAGUGAUAUAUGUAGACGAUCCAAGCGGUAAGAUAUGGGAAUUUGAAUUAGUAAGAGCAAAUGACAAGUAUUUGGUGCAAAAGGGCUGGCCGGAAUUCGUUGAGUACUACUCGUUGUCUCAUGGGGACUGCAUUAUGUUCAAAUUCAAAGGGAAUCACCGAUUCGACGUCGUCAUUUUCAAUCAAACUCAAACAGAGACAUGAAGACGGAUAGCUCUUGUCCAUCCUUGGCGAUUAAAAUGGUAAAUGGAGCCGACCUUUCUCAAUCACGAGUUUACUGCUGGCGUGAUUAUACCUAGUGAAUUUGCAAAGACAUACUUGGACAAGUCACCUUGCACGCUCAAGCUUCUAACUGACAAAACUUGGGAAGUGAGCUUUACCGGUGGACGGUGGUGGUAGUAGACAUGCCAAGUUGAAAGUCGGUGAUAUAUGCAUGUUUGAGUUGAUCGCCUGUCAAGAGCUUAAGGUUUGCAUAAUUCGUGCGAGUUCAAGGGAUCCUAGAAAAACCCAUCAAGCCAUCCAAAGUGCCAGCCAAAGCGUGUGCGAGUACUCAACCAGAAGACAUUGAUUCAUGGCCGAAACAGCCAAGGCCAGGAAGGCCGCCGACGAGGGAUCACAGAGAUGCAGCUGAAGCUUAUACAAGUGCUUUUGCUGGAAAUCCAUCGUUUUCAAUCCCUAUCACUUCUGGUUACAUGAAAUACAACAUACUCGUAUAAUCUUAUCUUAUCUUAUCUUAUCUUUAGUUGUUUUUUUAAACUUAUGUUACGUUACACUUCCUCCGAUUUUUAAUACUCGCAACGUUUGUAAUUUCUACACUAUUCACAUACUCCCUCCGUCCCUUAAUACUCGCACCGGUUUGAUCCAUGCGGAGUUUUAGACACUUAAUUGACUUAUUAAUUUAAUAGGUGUUAGUUGAUAGUGAAGUUUUUUAAAUAUAGUUAGUGGGAAAUGUGUAAGGGAUGAGGAGUGGGAAUGUGAAUUCAUUUUUAAAUGAUUUGUUUGUAGGGAGUAGGGGUGUAGGUGGGUUAGUAGCUACGUAAGUGUGAGAAAUAAUAUAAUAUUGGUAAAUGUUUCCAUUUAUAGAAGCUGUGCAAGUAUUAAGAGACGGUCCGAAAAGAAAAGCGGUGUGAGUAUUAAGGGAUGGAGGGAGUAGUAUACUUAGACCAUUGUUGGUGAUUUAUACGUAUUAUAAAACAUAUAUAGUCAUGUGAGAUCUUGUUAGAUUCGUCUUAAUGUGUAUUUUCAAAAUAUUAACUUUUUAUAAUUUUUGCUUAAAGGGAAUUAAAGAUAAUAAUGAUCAAAAUUGUGCAUUGACAUGCGUGAAAGUGACAAACGUUGCGAUGACAAAUGAACGGAGAAAGUAUGAAUUUAUUUUAGUUAUAAAAUGUAAUUAACUGGAUAACUUGUUUGUUUUUGUAGAACAUACCACUCCGUUGGGUGGAUACGUACAUGAGAGGAAGUUAUAAGCGUAAUAUAACGCUAAAGGGGGGGAAGAAAAGCUUGAAUACCAAGUUGAUUAUAUACCGCCACAUUACAGGAUCUCAUUGCAAGUUAACAGGAGGGAUUUCAAAGUUCUUUCAUGAUAACGCCAUCAUACAAGGAGACGUAUGUGUGUUCGAGCUCGUCAACAAUGUUCCAAAUACCUUGAAAGUCUUGGUAUUUCGCUAAUGCUACCAUUAAUUAACCCAUUACAAUUUACAAAUGCCGAGCUAAUCGCAUCAUGAAAUAUAUACUUGGUGCUUAUGUUAUUCAGCCUUUAAUUUAGUUAGAUUUGAUGUUGUAAUCGAAUUAACUUGUUGGAAUUUGGUAGCUUUGUUCUCUGUCUAUUUCUAAUUGUCAGUUCUUUAGACGGUCUUGAAUGUUUCAACCGGAGGCCGGCUUUUUGGAACUGAUUGGCUAAGUCGUUUACUCCUAAUUUCGUGUCUCUUAUCACUAUACAGUAUUUUCUGUAAUGUGUGAAAGACUUGCCUAAAGCCGAGCCAAUCGCAUCGUGUUGUUGACAUCAGGGGCGGUGCUAGUAAGGGUUCAGUGGGUUCAACUGAACCCUUACUAGCUAAACAAAAAAACUGGCAGAUUUUACAAAAUAAAAAAAAAGUCAAGUAAUAGUAAACCCAGUUUAUGACAUAAUCAAAAGAGGUGUUGUAGUGGUUUUUGAUUUACUAACCAAACUAAAGGUCAGGGGAUUGAAUCCCAUUCCUGUUUUUUCCGUCUUUCCCUCCUCUCUUUUUUAUUUGGUUUCCUAAAACAUUAUAUAUUUUUUUAUACUAAUUCCUAUAUAAAGUUGCUUUUAAAAUAAGAAAAUUUGCUAAAUGCAACUAUAGCAUCUUUUCUUCCCAUUUUUUGCGUUCUAAUUGUAUUUUAGACUAUAAAUUGUGUUGUUAAAUUUUUAAUGUAUCUUAUGUACGGUAUCAAAAGUACUGUUCAAUAUUUUAUAUAAAAAGAUGGCUUGAGUUUGAAUUUCGAACCCUUAGUACGAAUUUUCUGGCAUCGCCACUUGUUGUCCAUCGUGAAAUACUUGGUGCUUACGUUGUUCAGCAACUUGUGAAAAACUGUGUGUGUAACUUUUGGUGUAUAAUUUGCUAGAUUGUAUUUGAUGCGUAACACGAAAUUGUUACCCCGAGCAUCUAUUUUUCUCACAUGCUCAUACAUUCAAAUACUCCUACCUAUCACAUUUGCUUUAAAUAGUUAAAUUAAAAUAGUUUUAGGAUAAUGACUUGAAUUUAUUAAAAUAAUAUGUUCCUCUCUCUCUCCCUUUUUCUCUCUUCUCUUUUAUCCUUUUGGGUUUUAUUUUUUUUGCCGUUUAGGCCGAAAAUUGUCUAAUUCCGACCCUUAUUCUUGUUUUUUCAUUGUUUUCUCUUUAUGUAUUGUCUUGUUUUGUUUUUUCUGUUGGGGGUGCUCUUCAGUACCUCACUUUGACUCGCCAGAAUCUGUGUUGUAUAUUUGAAAGAGGUUGACCUCCUUGCUUUUUGAUUUGUUCCCAAUUUAUUCUUGGGUUGGUCCCAAUUUAUUUGGAUUUUUCCUAGAGUUUUCUAGUUUCUUGAUUCUCAUCCAUGGAUGAGAAUUUUUUUUAGGGUUUCAAUAAUUGGGAAGGAGAUUUGGAUUCAUACAGGUUUAGGGUUUAUCAUCAACUCGUCAAUCAGAACAAUUCGUGCGCAUAUUGCGAAGGGCUCUACUUGGAAAGAUGCGAAAACAUCGAAAAUCACUGCUCGCGUUAAGCUAGAAGCGGUGGAGUACGAGAUGUGCUUUAGGAUGCAGAAUAAUAAUUGUUUUGAUUGUAACAGUUAUGUAUUUUCUUUGAAUUAAUGAAAUUGUUCUUCUCCGUCAAAAAAAAAAUUAUUAAAAUAAGAUGAAAGUGAGGUAAUGAGUGAAUUAUUUAUUAUAUGUGAUUAAAUGUUGGGACCACAAAAAAGAGAGAAAUAUUAAUACUAGAUUUAAAGCCCGUGCGAUGCACGGUUUUUUUUCAAAUUUCUUUUUUGAGAUUUUUUUUUCAACUUUAAGCGAUAAUAAACCCAGAUGAAUGUAUAUGAGAAUUAAAUACGUGUAGUCUUUUAAUCCCAAUACUUAACUUAUCGUAGGAUCGAUUUGAUAACAUUUGUAAGUUUUUUUUUAUAGUUAAAAUUAGAUGCACUCGACUGCAUAAUUGUGUUUAUGACAUUUGAGCCUUCUAAAAUGCUCUCCAAUAUUUGGGGUUGCUUGCAUAAGGCAACUUUAAGGUCGAUGCAAUGAUUCUAUUAAAAGAAACAAAAAAUAUUGAUGAUGUUCAGGUUUACGUUCUAUGUUCUUGUCCAUAACCGCUUUAUGUUAAACGGAGUAAUUGAAGAUGGAAAUAUGCAGUGCCUCCAAAUCCCAGAAUUGAACUGAGAGAGUUAAUCUACUUAACUACCACGCCGGCGAUUGCACCCCAACUGUUCGACAAAAUGCCGAGACGAACUUUUAUCACCUGCAAAACCCAUGUUUACUGGGCACACCAGUCCCCAAAUCAGGAUAAUGAUGGUAGCUCAACUAUGAUCUAGCAGAACACAAGAGUUAUUUUGUGUGUCUACAUCAACAUCAAGAUUAGCAAGCAUUAACCGUUAAGGUGCAACCAGGGGCGUACAGGAUGUGACUACUUUGAUACCUAUCACAGGUACAAAUCACUCUUUCAUAUCUCUUGUCUUCCAUUAGUUUGUUGUUAUGCAAUUGUGAUCUAUAUAUGCAAUGUGGAAUAAACAGAUUACAUCAUUUACAUGUGUAUGUAGAAAUCUAUUUGUUGUUGCUCUUCGUGUCACUGUCAUCUUCAUAUUCAGUUGCUAGUCUAUUGACUUGUUUGGGUUUCUCUUUAUCCUCCUCUAAAUCCCAUUUGUUUGUGUCUUCCUCUAUUCCUCUUUCUUUAUAUUUCCAGUAAACCAUCAGUUGGAAGAUGCCCAAGAUAAUUCCAACCAAGUUAGGUGACUGCCAAACGGUCAAGAUUCAAGUUAGAAGAACCAAAAUGCAUUUUACAAAAUAUGUAAAAAUACUAAAGGUUCAUGAUAUACUUUUGGUAAAUAUAAGUUCCUAUGGGGAAAAAAUAAUGAACUGAAAAAGACGAGAGAGUGGCAAGUGAGAUCAGGGGAGUUCACAAACCGUGAUGAAAAAAUCAUGGCUCAGUAGUCCAUAGCAUCCCCAGAAGCAACUAGAAAGGAGAGUGAAGAAUGACAGAUAAAAUGGCAUGAAUUCCACGCUUUUGGUUGCUAUCACUUGCUUCUGCGGUAAUAUAUCCAGGUAAGAUGUUAAUUCCUUGCCAAAAGGUCCCAAGAUUUGUUAUUUUCUGAGAAGUGCAUGUCAAUGAUUGAUAGGUAAACACGACAGAUUUUGGGGCUUUACUAACAUGAGAAUGUAUGUCAAAAUAUGAUAGAUUUUAGAUUACAUGAUAUUUUGCUACCAUGCAAUCAUGUAGUGCUUUAACUGAUAAGCAUGUCUGUUAAGAACCUGUGAUAAUUUAAGAGAGCAUGAUGGGUUAUGAAGACUCACCACAGCAACAAGAGGGGCACCAUAUAGUGCUAUCGAAGUUACCAGCCCUACACUUCCAACAAAUAUUUUCCUUUUAUGAUGGUCAUGCAACAGUAAGGCAGAGAUUAGUGCUGUGGCUACGAAUAGUGCAAGAAAAGUCAUUGUUAAUGCUGCAACUUUCACCUGCAUCAUGUCAUGGAAUUAUUAUCACAAACUCUGUGCAUGACCAUCUUCACUGACUUGUUUUUGAAUGAUAAACAAAAAAAAUUCUGGCUCCUAGAAGUAUCAAAAGAUACCAAGGAUGUUUGAAAUGACUGACCUUUUCCCUUGUUGAAGUUAAGGAAAGAUAGACGAGGACAAAACAGGAUUCCAGUAGGACACCUAGGCCAUUGACGGUGGUGAGGGAGACAUUUUCCCAUCCUUUGCUUACAAUAGGUAAGCCGUACCAAGUGUAAAGGAGAGCGUUGAGUAGAGCAACAAUGUAUGGGACAUAUGAAAACCCUUGAGUGCUCUUCUUCUUUAUGAUUGUUGAAAAUGUUAAUCUGGGAAAACAUUGAAUUUUGAAGUUAUUUGAGAAUUUUGAUAGCUUCUAAUCUUGGACUAAAAGAAUGAGAAAAAAUAUAGGUUGAUGAAACAAUUGGGUGGAGUUUCACAGUACAUGGGUGAUGCAUAAAGUAACGCAGAAGCCAAGUUUCCUGCAAAAGAAAAUAUAUAAGGUUAAACUUUUUUAGCUACUCAUUUAGUUAACAGGGGUUUGAGAAUAGGGAUGUACCCAAAACUCCAACAGCUAUCCGCAGUUUAUCCCCCAUGUUAUCACCCUAACGAUCCUGGGGGUAAUGGCUGUGUGAUAGUACGCUCAACAAAUAUUUAUUGUUAAUGCAGCAUGAUCUGUUUGGCAGCCUUUGAUUGAUAUAAAUAGCCAAAGAUUGUGCUAAAGUUGUACGAUAUAAAAAUAUUGGGAGCAUAAACUUCCUUUUUCAAAAAUUAUUCUGGUCAUAAUACUUUAGUAUGGUAGAAAAGGAAGAUGGUAAUGGUGGUGGAGCAACAUGUAAUGAACUGUUAUGUUCUGAUUCUGAGUAAAAAACAUACAUGGCUAAUAAUAUUGUUCAUAUAUUUGAGUUUCCUUUACUAGAAUUCCCCCUUUUUACUGUCAAUGGAAAUUCAUAUUUUCUCGUGCUCUUCUCGUAGCACUUUGGAACUAGCUGUGAGUGUGAAAAUUAUAGUAUAAUAUGUUUAGAAGAAAAGUGAUUACAAAUUUGGGCAGUAAGAUGAUUGCAGGUGCCUUACAAGAAACUAGUGUGUGGUGAAUUGCGAUCUUUUAGCAACCAAACCAGUUUUAGCAGUUAAGGUGUAGUUGGAGAAAUGACCUAAACCAUUGUGGAAAGUGGAAUCAAUGGUAAUUGGGUUUGACAGGGGCGGCCAAUCUGACUUGACAGUAGGCUAAACUUCUUUGAAGAAAUGGUUAUGUCAGACUAUCUGUCAGAGUAAACACUGGGAAGAAAAUGGACUUUCUGUAAAAGCAGACAGAAAUAACAAAUCCUGACGUGAUAAUGGGUGUGGAAUCCUGCAACAGCAAGUAAAAGCUUUGUGUCUACAACUUUGAAUCCACAUUUUAAUUUUGUCGGAUUCAUUUGCGAAACUCGGAGCUUGGUGAAAUGGUUAAAUACACCGUACAUAGUACACAACAAAGUGGGAUCGCGAUAAGGGUUUUGGUUCGUUUACUAGAGACUUCACUUGGUGUUUAAGUACAAUAUCUUCUGUUAUGAUGAGUGGAAAGCUGAACUCCACCAUUUCCAGGUGAAUGGAAACCACAUUGACAGUUUACUCUGUUGUUUCUUUCUUUCUUUAUUUCUGAUGCCACUUUUUUUGUAAUCUGAUCUUUCUUUUUUCCCUCAAUCCUGUAAUUGUUCUUUUGUAGGACAAAGUGCAUAUAUACUCCAAAUAAGUGGUGAUUAUUAAACGCCAUCAUGAUCUUAGUGUUAAUGGUAUUUUGGUAUAAUAUUUCAGGAUCUUUUUAUUUUAGAUUCAGGAUUUUGUUGUUGUGCUGCAGUGUAGAAUUAUAAACUACAGUGUCUGCACCAAUACAAACUUUUAGAAAAGACGGUCUUACCGGAAAGACCGCCUUGUUGUCAUCUAAGAGACCACCUUUGAAAACGUGGAUGCUGACGUCAGCCUUACUUUCCAAAUAAUUCGAAAAAUAUAUAUAGUAUUUUCUCAUUUAUUUUUCAUUUCCAUUUCUCUCUCCUCACAUCUCUGUAGUUUUUUCUCUCUCCUCAACCUCUCUCAAAGAUUCAAACCCUAAUUUCAUGGCGAUCUUUCUUCCUCCUCAACAUCGCAAGUUCCAUCGCAACAUCGCAGGAUCGCUCUUCCUCAGAACAUGAUGGCGAUCUCUCUCAUUGCGACCGGCCACCGCAAGAUCCACCGCGGCCAUUCUGAUUGUCAUCUCGCCGCCGCUGCUUAUCGAGAUUCGAGAAUCGCCGCUGCCUCUUGAGCGGGGAAGGUGGCGGUUGAGGCUACAACGAAGGCCGCUUAAUGGAUGAGACACCGUCAUUUAACGUGUCGGAGAACUGGCCGGUUCCGAUGAAUGGCGCAGCUGCGGCGAAUGUUUUUUUAUCUUUCAAUAUCGAUUUCACUUGCUAUUUAAACUGGUGAGCCAAAGGACGGGGAAGAGCCUCGUUGUCGACGACGGAGUCUCCGUCUCAAGCACUGCAGGAAACAUAACGUCCACAACGUCCACAGGCACAGGCACAGGCACACCACUCACCACCACAUGCUGCAGGAACAAAGCUGUAGAAGCAACGAUUGUUGUUGGUCGAUAUUGUUGUUCUCCUGCGACUUUAAAGGGAUGUCUCUUCGAUGCCUUCACAGAGGCAAAGUUCAGAAUGGCCGCCCGGGUUGCUCUGCCUCUUUGUUAAUCUCCGACUACUUUUAGGGUUUAGUUAAUGAUCUUAUGUAAUAAUUUUAGUUAAUUUCGUAUUAGUUAUGUUGAACUUUGUUUUAGUUAAGAAAAAAUCCAUUUUAGUUAAGAAAUAAAAUUGUUUAGUUACAUUUUUGUAUUUAUGUCGAUUUUUAUUUUAGUUAUGAUUUUGUUAUAUUUAGUUAAGGAUAAAUUUGUUUUAUUUAAGAAUUAUUUUGUUUUAGUUGAGAUUUUUAUUUUUAUUUAAUAUUUUCCGAGUUUUAGUUAA